rnacentral:rRNA from 1 species
UACGAAGGGGGCUAGCGUUGUUCGGAUUAACUGGGCGUAAAGGGUGCGUAGGCGGGUUUUUAAGUCAGGGGUGAAAUCCCGAGGCUCAACCUCGGAACUGCCUUUGAUACUGGAAAUCUUGAGUCUGGGAGAGGUGAGUGGAACUGCGAGUGUAGAGGUGAAAUUCGUAGAUAUUCGCAAGAACACCGGUGGCGAAGGCGGUUCUCUGGGCCUUACCUGACGCUGAGGAGCGAAAGCGUGGGGAGCGAACAGG